AGUGGCAGACGGGUGAGUAAUGCAUAGGAAUCUACCUAGUAGUAUGGGAUAGCCACUAGAAAUGGUGGGUAAUACUGUAUAAUCCCUGCGGGGGAAAGAUUUAUCGCUAUUAGAUGAGCCUAUGUUAGAUUAGCUAGUUGGUAGGGUAAAGGCCUACCAAGGCAGUGAUCUAUAGCUGGUCUGAGAGGAUGAUCAGCCACACUGGAACUGAGAUACGGUCCAGACUCCUACGGGAGGCAGCAGUGGGGAAUAUUGUACAAUGUGCGCAAGCCUGAUCCAUCUAUGCUGUGAGUGAGUA
rnacentral:rRNA from 1 species